UUCCGGUUGAUCCUGCCGGACCCGACUGCUAUCAGAGUGGGACUAAGCCAUGCGAGUCAACAUAGCAAUAUGUGGCAUACGGCUCAGUAACACGUAGUCAACAUGCCCAGGGGACGUGGAUAACCUCGGGAAACUGAGGAUAAACCGCGAUAAGUCACUGCUUCUGGAAUGGGCAAUGACUUAAAUCUAUAUGGCCCCUGGAUUGGACUGCGGCCGAUCAGGCUGUUGGUGAGGUAAUGGCCCACCAAACCUGUAACCGGUACGGGCUCUGAGAGGAGGAGCCCGGAGAUGGGCACUGAGACAAGGGCCCAGGCCCUAUGGGGCGCAGCAGGCGCGAAACCUCUGCAAUAGGCGAAAGCCUGACAGGGUUACUCUGAGUGAUUUCCGCUAAGGGGAUCUUUUGGCACCUCUAAAAAUGGUGCAGAAUAAGGGGUGGGCAAGUCUGGUGUCAGCCGCCGCGGUAAUACCAGCACCCCGAGUGGUCGGGACGAUUAUUGGGCCUAAAGCAUCCGUAGCCGGUUCUGCAAGUCCCCCGUUAAAUCCAGCUGCUCAACAGAUGGGCCGCGGAGGAUACUACAGAGCUAGGAGGCAGGAGAGGCAAGCGGUACUCAGUGGGUAGGGGUAAAAUCCGUUGAUCCAUUGAAGACCACCAGUGGCGAAGGCGGCUUGCCAGAAUGCGCUCGACGGUGAGGGAUGAAAGCUGGGGGAGCAAACCGGAUUAGAUACCCGGGUAGUCCCAG
rnacentral:rRNA from 1 species